UUUGUGGUACCUUGUGGUAUGCACAUAAUAAAUUAUUGAAUUACUCUAUUACGUUUAGCGUGUAUGUUUACAUUGAGUAUCUGUCAUAUGUGGAGAUGUUGUUAUUGUUGUCUGGAGUGUGAAUCAUUGUAUGUAAUAUUGAAGUAUCGGUAAUAAAGUGUAUACAAAUAAUGAAUACAGUUGUUGAAUAAUCAUUACAGAGAAAGAUUCUCACAUUGGCGACGAGAACGGUGAACAGUGCAUGUGAAAUUAGUUUAAUUUCGGUUCGGGAAGUGUUGUCUUUGGAAAAAGAAAGAGAUGAGUGGUGUGUGUGUGUGUGGUGCAUGCAGAGUGGUGAUGACCUCCAGGUGAUGACUUGUGAUUGAGUUUCAACAUUGGAAACAAAAAGGUACAACCACAAGUAACGGCCAAGUAAUUUACCAAAAUGCCGAGCAGAGAUGGAUGACCAAAUGGAUGACUGUACUUCUAAUUCUGAUGUGAGACUGAAGCGAGACGUUCAUAAACUGAGGAGACUAUAAGCGAAACAACGUGGAGUGACCUUGCUGCGGAUCUGGAGAAAAAACGAGAUGUGGUACCUUGUGGUAUGCACAUAAUAAAUUAUUGAAUUACUCUAUUACGUUUAGCGUGUAUGUUUACAUUGAGUAUCUGUCAUAUGUGGAGAUGUUGUUAUUGUUGUCUGGAGUGUGAAUCAUUGUAUGUAAUAUUGAAG